CUUGCUUCUCUUGAGAGCGGCGGACGGGUGAGUAAUGCCUAGGAAUCUGCCUGGUAGUGGGGGAUAACGUUCGGAAACGGACGCUAAUACCGCAUACGUCCUACGGGAGAAAGCAGGGGACCUUCGGGCCUUGCGCUAUCAGAUGAGCCUAGGUCGGAUUAGCUAGUUGGUGGGGUAAUGGCUCACCAAGGCGACGAUCCGUAACUGGUCUGAGAGGAUGAUCAGUCACACUGGAACUGAGACACGGUCCAGACUCCUACGGGAGGCAGCAGUGGGGAAUAUUGGACAAUGGGCGAAAGCCUGAUCCAGCCAUGCCGCGUGUGUGAAGAAGGUCUUCGGAUUGUAAAGCACUUUAAGUUGGGAGGAAGGGUUGUAGAUUAAUACUCUGCAAUUUUGACGUUACCGACAGAAUAAGCACCGGCUAACUCUGUGCCAGCAGCCGCGGUAAUACAGAGGGUGCAAGCGUUAAUCGGAAUUACUGGGCGUAAAGCGCGCGUAGGUGGUUUGUUAAGUUGGAUGUGAAAUCCCCGGGCUCAACCUGGGAACUGCAUUCAAAACUGACUGACUAGAGUAUGGUAGAGGGUGGUGGAAUUUCCUAUGUAGCGGUGAAAUGCGUAGAUAUAGGAAGGAACACCAGUGGCGAAGGCGACCACCUGGACUAAUACUGACACUGAGGUGCGAAAGCGUGGGGAGCAAACA
rnacentral:rRNA from 1 species